rnacentral:tRNA from 2 species
GGAGAGGUGGCUGAGUGGUCGAAAGCGCUCCCCUGCUAAGGGAGUAUACCCCUAACGGGGUAUCGAGGGUUCGAAUCCCUCCCUCUCCG